rnacentral:rRNA from 1 species
GACGAACGCUGGCGGCGUGCCUAAUACAUGCAAGUAGAACGCACAGUUUAUACCGUAGCUUGCUACACCAUAGACUGUGAGUUGCGAACGGGUGAGUAACGCGUAGGUAACCUGCCUGGUAGCGGGGGAUAACUAUUGGAAACGAUAGCUAAUACCGCAUAAUAUUAAUUAUUGCAUGAUAAUUAAUUGAAAGGUGCAAUUGCACCACUACCAGAUGGACCUGCGUUGUAUUAGCUAGUAGGUGAGGUAACGGCUCACCUAGGCGACGAUACAUAGCCGACCUGAGAGGGUGAUCGGCCACACUGGGACUGAGACACGGCCCAGACUCCUACGGGAGGCAGCAGUAGGGAAUCUUCGGCAAUGGACGAAAGUCUGACCGAGCAACGCCGCGGGAGUGAAGAAGGUUUUCGGAUCGGAAAGCUCUGUUGUAAGAGAAGAACGGGUGUGAGAGUGGAAAGUUCACACUGUGACGGUAUCUUACCAGAAAGGGACGGCUAACUACGUG